GUCAGUAGCUGUCUCACCAAGUUUACAUAAGCAGUCCAAACUCCGGAAACCUUGAGUCUUUCUAUAAUCUCCCUCCCAGGUCUCCAUCGCCAGGGUCCCUGAGCAAGUGACUUCAGAGACCUGAGCCCUAAGCCUCUUCUUUGUUAAUUCAGGAUUUCUUCUUUCUGGGGAUCAAAAAUGGCUAUUUCCAAGGUCUGGGAUCUUCCUCUCCUACGAGAUGCAGAAGUCAAGUGGAUUGAUCAUUAUUAAAUUUAUUUAAAUAAUGAGGAAAUUGAGAUAUCUAAAGUUAGGGCCAUGGCCAAGAACGCAGUGCACAUCAAUGGAAAAAUCUAGAAAUACAGAUGAUGAUUAGCCAUGUCCAUGCUCAGAGGAGACGAAAGGAGGCUGUUAGUGCCGUCUUUAUGACAAAAGACAACAGUCCAGGCUGACUCCUCCCAUGCCACAAAACUGCUAUAAACUCCCAAAUUGGCAAGUGUUGGCUUAUAGAUGGCACCAACCCCAGGAACGAUGAGGUCAGCUCCUGGGAUGGAAAAACAGCUUCUGGAUUCCACAUAUUGGCGAGAUCAUACGGUAUUUGUCUUCCUCUGCUGACCUACUUCGCUUAGCACAAUGCCUGUGAGGUCUAUCCAUAUGGUUGCAAAUGCCAUCCUAACAGGUGUGAGCUGAUAUCUCAUUGCGGUUUUGAUCUGCAUUUCCCUGAUGACUAGUGAUGUUGAACACCUUUUCAGGCCAUCAAAAUCCACUUUACCUGAAAUAUUUUUUCUUGUUGUUUGGACCCGGGCUGGUGAGCUAAGUCUUCCUUCUUGCUGCCUCUUGGAGGAGAAGGUAAUAACCGAACACAGUGACAUUACUUGUCGUCUUCACACUCAUGUGCAGAGUCGAUAAACACAAAAGAAUCUACUGUGUCGGGAUGAGCUUCUGUGUCAUCGUAGCUCAGCUGGAGAUUUAGAGACCUGCAGUGGGAGUGGGUUGUUCGAUUCAACUUAACAACCAUUCAUUUCUUACCUCCUAAGUGCAGAAAAAGAGAGAUGAGAGACAGGCGACUGGACAGAGAGAUACCAAGACAAGAAAGGGAAGGGGCGGCUCUCCAGAUGCUCUAAAACCAUAAUAAAUAAAAAAUCAUUCUUAAAUCAUCUCAAACCAACAAACGCUGUCAUUGGCACGCACACACACACACUACACCCUAUAGGCACGUAGGGGAGAGAGAGAGAUAGGCAAAUAUUUGGGGUUUUGAAUGGGUAUGCGUUGAUAGGCUGAUGGAGUGCGCACGUGCGCACACACACACGCACUUUAUAGAAAGGCCCAGAGGAGGGGAGCAGAGGGUUCAGAGAAUGGCCAGAAGUCUGAUGUAAGAGCCUGCAUAGCCAAGGGAAAGGGUGGAAGCUGUAGAAGAUAAUGGCUGGAGAGGUAAAUAGGGCUUUUAACACCAGGCUGAGAAGUCCAGACCUCAAUCUGUAAGGAAGGAGAGAGCACAGCAGGUUUUGAACAGAGAAGAGACAGGAUCAGAUCUGUACUUUAAAAAAUAACCCUGGAGAGAGAUUGGAGGCACAAACAACAACAAUAGCCUCCCUUGACUGAGUAGCUAUCCCUAUAUUGCAAGUAUGGAAACAGACUCAGAAAGGUUAAGUGGUUUCACCUAGGUCACACAGCAGUUAGGUGUCAGAGCCAAGAUUUCCACUCGGAUCUGACUGAAUCUACAGUAUAAAGACCUACUCUUCAGUCCUGUCUACAAUUAGGCUACUGUCAAGGUCCAGAGGGAAUGAAGGCCUGUACACAGUGGCAGCAAAAAGAAGAGAUGGGGCAGGAGACACUGAGGAAGCAGAAUGGAUAGAUGGUUCCCUGUCUACUCAUAGUGACCUGGGGUCCUCAUAGAGAAAUCUCAGUCUGGAAGAGCGAAGAUCACGGAGGAAGAAACAAGAAGACAUUUGGUGAAUCCUGGGUGUCUUAUUCCUGCCAGAAAACCUGAAGCUCACUGUGGAGUACCAAGCAGCAAGAACUCAUUCCCGUUGUGUCUUUAGCGACAACAUACUUCUUGCCAGAUUCCUUUUCUUCACCUUCCCCUUUAUAUAUCUGGGUUUCACAUGCAGCCUGUCCAUGUCUGUGUUAUGAAUUCAUAAUGAUAGUCUCUGGUUAUCUGCAUGAAUCUGGAAAAUGCUUGUGUGUUUGCAUCAUUGAUCUGUGUAAAUAGAAAAGCCCAGUGAAAAGGGCUGGAUGCUGUUAUGAUAUUCGUGGAUAGGUCUGAGCCUGUCAUUACUCUCCUUUGUGUGACUAUUGUGAUGUUGGAUAUCUACCUUGUUUGUGCAUCAGAAUUGUUGUUUGCUGUCCAG
rnacentral:lncRNA from 1 species